GGCGCCGUUGGCACCGGCGCGGUGACGGGACGGAACUGUUCGCCGUUGGCCGGCACUCGGGUGGGCUGAAACAUCUUAGUAGCCAGAGGAAAAGAAAGCAAAAGCGAUUCCCGUAGUAGCGGCGAGCGAAAUGGGAGCAGCCUAAACCGUGAGCUCGGGGGGGUGCGAGGGCUAUGCAAGCGUCGCACUGCUAGCUGGAGGUCACUGAGGCGCCGAA
rnacentral:rRNA from 1 species